UCAAGUGCUCCUUCAGAUCCUAAUUAGUUGGUUUCAUCAGGGUUGGAAAUGAACUUUGAAGGAAGAUCCUAAAGCAAACAUGACUUUGAUAACCGUCAUUAUUUGGACACUCACCACCUGCACCUGGAGUUCUGUGGGGCAGAUUGUGACUCAAUCUGAAGAUCAAACAGUGAAGCCUGAUCAGACUGUCACUAUUCAGUGUAAUCAUAAACCAGCAGUAAACUGUAUUAAAAAAGAUACCUCUCAGUAUUGCUUGUCCUGGUACCAUCAGAUUCCUGGAGAAGCUCCUAAACUCCUGAUCUAUUACACAUCAGACAGAGCUUCAGGUGUUUCUUCUAGAUUUAGUGGCAGUGAAAGUGGAAACCACAUGGAUUUUACUCUGACCAUCAAUGGAAUCCAGCCUGAAGAUUCAGGAGUUUAUUACUGUCAAGGUGUAUAUAACAAGGGAGUCUCUGGCACCACAGAUUGGGUGUUCACACAGUGUAAAAUCAUCAUACAAAAACCUCACUGGGUGAUACAGCAGCGCUGCAGCUUUGAGCUUCUGCAGAUGUUGAUGUUGAAGAUCAUUAUUCACCUCACUGACUUACAAACACACAUACACAGAAGGCUGCUGAAUCAAUAAUAAACUCCAGAAUGUCUCAAUCAAGUUUCCACAUGAACUACAAUCCAAUAAAAUCCAUCCAACCUUGAUGAAAGCAAACUCACCAUGGCCAAAGCAACUUCUUAAAUUCAUGCUUUAACUAACAACAUGAAUACUCCAGUUCAGUGUGAAAUAAGCCAGAAUCCAUAUUUUGUUUUAUUUUGUAUUUGUUAACAACCACAACAGGUUUUCCCUGCUAUAUU